GGGUUGUGAGGUUAAGCGACUAAGCGUACACGGUGGAUGCCCUGGCAGUCAGAGGCGAUGAAGGGCGUGCUAAUCUGCGAUAAGCGCCGGUAAGGUGAUAUGAACCGUUAUAACCGGCGAUACCCGAAUGGGGAAACCCAGUGUGACUCGUCACACUAUCAUUAACUGAAUCCAUAGGUUAAUGAGGCGAACCGGGGGAACUGAAACAUCUAAGUACCCCGAGGAAAAGAAAUCAACCGAGAUUCCCCCAGUAGCGGCGAGCGAACGGGGAGGAGCCCAGAGCCUGAAUCAGCAUGUGUGUUAGUGGAAGCGUCUGGAAAGGCGCGCGAUACAGGGUGACAGCCCCGUACACAAAAGCGCAUGUGCUGUGAGCUCGAUGAGUAGGGCGGGACACGUGGUAUCCUGUCUGAAUAUGGGGGGACCAUCCUCCAAGGCUAAAUACUCCUGACUGACCGAUAGUGAACCAGUACCGUGAGGGAAAGGCGAAAAGAACCCCGGCGAGGGGAGUGAAAAAGAACCUGAAACCGUGUACGUACAAGCAGUGGGAGCACAGGUUUACCUGUGUGACUGCGUACCUUUUGUAUAAUGGGUCAGCGACUUAUAUUCUGUAGCAAGGUUAACCGAAUAGGGGAGCCGGAGGGAAACCGAGUCUUAACCGGGCGUUAAGUUGCAGGGUAUAGACCCGAAACCCGGUGAUCUAGCCAUGGGCAGGUUGAAGGUUGGGUAACACUAACUGGAGGACCGAACCGACUAAUGUUGAAAAAUUAGCGGAUGACCUGUGGCUGGGGGUGAAAGGCCAAUCAAACCGGGAGAUAGCUGGUUCUCCCCGAAAGCUAUUUAGGUAGCGCCUCGUGAAUUCAUCUCCGGGGGUAGAGCACUGUUUCGGCUAGGGGGCCAUCCCGGCUUACCAACCCGAUGCAAACUGCGAAUACCGGAGAAUGUUAUCACGGGAGACACACGGCGGGUGCUAACGUCCGUCGUGAAGAGGGAAACAACCCAGACCGCCAGCUAAGGUCCCAAAGUCAUGGUUAAGUGGGAAACGAUGUGGGAAGGCCCAGACAGCCAGGAUGUUGGCUUAGAAGCAGCCAUCAUUUAAAGAAAGCGUAAUAGCUCACUGGUCGAGUCGGCCUGCGCGGAAGAUGUAACGGGGCUAAACCAUGCACCGAAGCUGCGGCAGCGACGCUUAUGCGUUGUUGGGUAGGGGAGCGUUCUGUAAGCCUGUGAAGGUGGCCUGUGAGGGUUGCUGGAGGUAUCAGAAGUGCGAAUGCUGACAUAAGUAACGAUAAAGCGGGUGAAAAGCCCGCUCGCCGGAAGACCAAGGGUUCCUGUCCAACGUUAAUCGGGGCAGGGUGAGUCGACCCCUAAGGCGAGGCCGAAAGGCGUAGUCGAUGGGAAACGGGUUAAUAUUCCCGUACUUGGUGUUACUGCGAAGGGGGGACGGAGAAGGCUAUGUUGGCCGGGCGACGGUUGUCCCGGUUUAAGCGUGUAGGUGUGUGUUCCAGGUAAAUCCGGUUCACUUUAACACUGAGGCGUGACGACGAGGCACUACGGUGCUGAAGCAACAAAUGCCCUGCUUCCAGGAAAAGCCUCUAAGCAUCAGGUAACAUCAAAUCGUACCCCAAACCGACACAGGUGGUCAGGUAGAGAAUACCAAGGCGCUUGAGAGAACUCGGGUGAAGGAACUAGGCAAAAUGGUGCCGUAACUUCGGGAGAAGGCACGCUGACACGUAGGUGAAGUGAUUUACUCAUGGAGCUGAAGUCAGUCGAAGAUACCAGCUGGCUGCAACUGUUUAUUAAAAACACAGCACUGUGCAAACACGAAAGUGGACGUAUACGGUGUGACGCCUGCCCGGUGCCGGAAGGUUAAUUGAUGGGGUCAGCGCAAGCGAAGCUCCUGAUCGAAGCCCCGGUAAACGGCGGCCGUAACUAUAACGGUCCUAAGGUAGCGAAAUUCCUUGUCGGGUAAGUUCCGACCUGCACGAAUGGCGUAAUGAUGGCCAGGCUGUCUCCACCCGAGACUCAGUGAAAUUGAACUCGCUGUGAAGAUGCAGUGUACCCGCGGCAAGACGGAAAGACCCCGUGAACCUUUACUAUAGCUUGACACUGAACAUUGAGCCUUGAUGUGUAGGAUAGGUGGGAGGCUUUGAAGUGUGGACGCCAGUCUGCAUGGAGCCGACCUUGAAAUACCACCCUUUAAUGUUU
rnacentral:rRNA from 1 species